CAGGCUUAACACAUGCAAGUCGAGGGGCAUCAGGAAGAAAGCUUGCUUUCUUUGCUGGCGACCGGCGCACGGGUGAGUAACACGUAUCCAACCUGCCCUUUACUCGGGGAUAGCCUUUCGAAAGAAAGAUUAAUACCCGAUAGCAUAAUGAUUCCGCAUGGUUUCAUUAUUAAAGGAUUCCGGUAAAGGAUGGGGAUGCGUUCCAUUAGGUUGUUGGUGAGGUAACGGCCCACCAAGCCUUCGAUGGAUAGGGGUUCUGAGAGGAAGGUCCCCCACAUUGGAACUGAGACACGGUCCGAACUCCUACGGGAGGCAGCAGUGAGGAAUAUUGGUCAAUGGGCGCUAGCCUGAACCAGCCAAGUAGCGUGAAGGAUGAAGGCUCUAUGGGUCGUAAACUUCUUUUAUAUAAGAAUAAAGUGCAGUAUGUAUACUGUUUUGUAUGUAUUAUAUGAAUAAGGAUCGGCUAACUCCGUGCCAGCAGCCGCGGUAAUACGGAGGAUCCGAGCGUUAUCCGGAUUUAUUGGGUUUAAAGGGAGCGUAGGUGGACUGGUAAGUCAGUUGUGAAAGUUUGCGGCUCAACCGUAAAAUUGCAGUUGAUACUGUCAGUCUUGAGUACAGUAGAGGUGGGCGGAAUUCGUGGUGUAGCGGUGAAAUGCUUAGAUAUCACGAAGAACUCCGAUUGCGAAGGCAGCUCACUGGACUGCAACUGACACUGAUGCUCGAAAGUGUGGGUAUCAAACAGGAUUAGAUACCCUGGUAGUCCACACAGUAAACGAUGAAUACUCGCUGUUUGCGAUAUACAGUAAGCGGCCAAGCGAAAGCAUUAAGUAUUCCACCUGGGGAGUACGCCGGCAACGGUGAAACUCAAAGGAAUUGACGGGGGCCCGCACAAGCGGAGGAACAUGUGGUUUAAUUCGAUGAUACGCGAGGAACCUUACCCGGGCUUAAAUUGCAGUGGAAUGAUGUGGAAACAUGUCAGUGAGCAAUCACCGCUGUGAAGGUGCUGCAUGGUUGUCGUCAGCUCGUGCCGUGAGGUGUCGGCUUAAGUGCCAUAACGAGCGCAACCCUUAUCUUUAGUUACUAACAGGUUAUGCUGAGGACUCUAGAGAGACUGCCGUCGUAAGAUGUGAGGAAGGUGGGGAUGACGUCAAAUCAGCACGGCCCUUACGUCCGGGGCUACACACGUGUUACAAUGGGGGGUACAGAAGGCAGCUAGCGGGUGACCGUAUGCUAAUCCCAAAAGCCUCUCUCAGUUCGGAUCGAAGUCUGCAACCCGACCUCGUGAAGCUGGAUUCGCUAGUAAUCGCGCAUCAGCCAUGGCGCGGUGAAUACGUUCCCGGGCCUUGUACACACCGCCCGUCAAGCCAUGAAAGCCGGGGGUACCUGAAGUACGUAACCGCAAGGGGCGUCCUAGGGUAAAACUGGUAAUUGGGGCUAAGUCG
rnacentral:rRNA from 1 species